GAUGAAGAACGCAGCGAAAUGCGAAAAGUAGUGUGAAUUGCAGAAUUCAGUGAAUCAUCGAAUCUUUGAACGCACAUUGCGCCCCUUGGUAUUCCAUGGGGCAUGCCUGUUCGAGCGUCAUUUGUACCUUCAAGCUUUGCUUGGUGUUGGGUGUUUGUCCAUUCUCUUGCAGAGGGACUCGCCUUAAAGUAAUUGGCAGCCAGUGUUUUGGUUUUGAAGCGCAGCACAAGUCGCGAUUCAACGCUAUACGCCAGCUUCCACAAGCCUUUUUCACUUUUGACCUCGGAUCAGGUAGGGAUACCCGCUGAACUUAAGCAUAUCAAUAAGCGGAGGA
rnacentral:misc_RNA from 1 species